UACGUAGGGGGCGAGCGUUAUCCGGAUUUACUGGGUGUAAAGGGCGUGUAGGCGGGACUGCAAGUCAGAUGUGAAAAUUAUGGGCUCAACCCAUAACCUGCAUUUGAAACUGUAGUUCUUGAGUGAUGGAGAGGCAGGCGGAAUUCCGUGUGUAGCGGUGAAAUGCGUAGAUAUACGGAGGAACACCAGUGGCGAAGGCGGCCUGCUGGACAUUAACUGACGCUGAGGCGCGAAAGCGUGGGGAGCAAACAGG
rnacentral:rRNA from 1 species